GCUACAACAGAGUCACGCUCCCAAGUCAGUUAUACCCAGAGACUGCAGAAUGGGAUUUGCGCUGUGCCUUUGCUUCUUCUUGGCUUACUUCACCUAUGUCCAAUCCGCCAUCGUGCUGACCCAGCCGGCUUCAGAGACCGCUAAGCCGGGACAAUCUCGCAAACUGUCCUGUUCAGUGAGCGGAUUCAGUCUGGACAGCUACUAUGUGCACUGGGUUAAACAAGUUCCUGGGAAAGGGCUGGAGUGGCUCCUUGUUUACAAAAACCCCUCGUCAACCACAUAUUACGCGUCUGGAGUCGAAGGUCGAAUCAUCCCAUCAAAAACUUCGUCCACAACUUAUAUUGAGAUCAAAAAUCUGAGAGCCGAAGACACCGCGAGGUAUUACUGUGCAAGAGACCACAGUGACCUGAACAAGCCCAGAGCUCGUACAGAAACUGCAGAAGAAUAAUUACAGUGAAUCAGAGAACUGUAAUUGUGUGAACCAGACCAGCGAAUGUAACACUGUGGCUAUCUUGACUACUGGGGCCAAGGAACAAUGGUGAC